UGUUUGUGUGUGUGUGUGUGUGUGUGUGUGUGUGUGUGUGNCACACACACACACACACACACACACACACACAGACACACACAC
rnacentral:miRNA from 14 species